rnacentral:rRNA from 1 species
CGGACAGAUGGGAGCUUGCUCCCUGAUGUUAGCGGCGGACGGGUGAGUAACACGUGGGUAACCUGCCUGUAAGACUGGGAUAACUCCGGGAAACCGGGGCUAAUACCGGAUGCUUGUUUGAACCGCAUGGUUCAAACAUAAAAGGUGGCUUCGGCUACCAGUUACAGAUGGACCCGCGGCGCAUUAGCUAGUUGGUGAGGUAAUGGCUCACCAAGGCAACGAUGCGUAGCCGACCUGAGAGGGUGAUCGGCCACACUGGGACUGAGACACGGCCCAGACUCCUACCGGGAGGCAGCAGUAGGGAAUAUUCCGCAAUGGACGAAAGUCUGACGGAGCAACGCCGCGUGAGUGAUGAAGGUUUUCGGAUCGUAAAGCUCUGUUGUUAGGGAAGAACAAGUACCGUUCGAAUAGGGCGGUACCUUGACGGUACCUAACCAGAAAGCCACGGCUAACUACGUGCCAGCAGCCGCGGUAAUACGUAGGUGGCAAGCGUUGUCCGGAAUUAUUGGGCGUAAAGGGCUCGCAGGCGGUUCCUUAAGUCUGAUGUGAAAGCCCCCGGCUCAACCGGGGAGGGUCAUUGGAAACUGGGGAACUUGAGUGCAGAAGAGGAGAGUGGAAUUCCACGAGUAGCGGUGAAAUGCGUAGAGAUGUGGAGGAACACCAGUGGCGAAGGCGACUCUCUGGUCUGUAACUGACGCUGAGGAGCGAAAGCGUGGGGAGCGAACAGGAUUAGAUACCCUGGUAGUCCACGCCGUAAACGAUGAGUGCUAAGUGUUAGGGGGUUUCCGCCCCUUAGUGCUGCAGCUAACGCAUUAAGCACUCCGCCUGGGGAGUACGGUCGCAAGACUGAAACUCAAAGGAAUUGACGGGGGCCCGCACAAGCGGUGGAGCAUGUGGUUUAAUUCGAAGCAACGCGAAGAACCUUACCAGGUCUUGACAUCCUCUGACAAUCCUAGAGAUAGGACGUCCCCUUCGGGGGCAGAGUGACAGGUGGUGCAUGGUUGUCGUCACCUCGUGUCGUGAGAUGUUGGGUUAAGUCCCGCAACGAGCGCAACCCUUGAUGUUAGUUGCCAGCAUUCAGUUGGGCACUCUAAGGUGACUGCCGGUGACAAACCGGAAGGAAGGUGGGGAUGACGUCAAAUCAUCAUGCCCCUUAUGACCUGGGCUACACACCGUGCUACAAUGGACAGAAACAAGGGCAGCGAAACCGCGAGGUUAAGCCAAUCCCACAAAUCUGUUCUCAGUUCGGAUCGCAGUCUGGAACUCGACUGCGUGAAGCUGGAAUCGCUAGUAAUCGCGGAUCAGCAUGCCGCGGUGAAUACGUCCCGGGC